rnacentral:misc_RNA from 1 species
UCGAAUUAUAGGCAAAGGUUGUCGCUGGCCCUCCCUGGGGGCAUGUGCACGCCCGAGCUCAUUAAUCCAAAUUACACCUGUGAACUUAAUGUGGGAUGGUCUCCCUUCGGGGAAGCAAGUCUCAUGUCUUUCAUACACACACACUUGUCUCAGAAUGUCUUAUUAUGUUGUUUGCUUUGACGCAAUCAAAUAAAUAAAUA